rnacentral:misc_RNA from 1 species
CCUUGGUACCCAUUAACUGUAGCCAUUGUUUCUUUUGACGAAAAGAAAAGAAAACCCAAAACAAUAAUAGUUGAAACUGAGAUGGAUUUUGUUUCGGAAAAAUGGAAGAAGAGACUCAGGUAGGGUUUCUUUGACUUUCUUCGCGUUCGAGGGAGAGCGAGCUAGAGAGACGCGACUUAUAAGAAAGAGAGUCGGUGAAGUGAUGC